rnacentral:rRNA from 1 species
AUUGAACGCUGGCGGUAGGCCUAACACAUGCAAGUCGAACGCGAAAGUCCUUCGGGAUGAGUAGAGUGGCGGACGGGUGAGUAACGCGUAGGAAUCUAUCCUGUAGUGGGGGAGUAACGUUUCGAAAGGAACGCUAAUACCGCAUACGCCCAAGGGGAAAGCGGGGGAGUCUUCGGACCUCGUGCUAUAGGAGGAGCCUGCGUCGGAUUAGCUAGUUGGUGAGGUAAAGGCUCACCAAGGCGACGAUCCGUAGCUGGUCUGAGAGGAUGAUCAGCCACACUGGGACUGAGACACGGCCCAGACUCCUACGGGAGGCAGCAGUGGGGAAUAUUGGACAAUGGGCGCAAGCCUGAUCCAGCCAGCCGCGUUGAGUGAUGAAGGCCUUCGGGUCGUAAAGCUCUGUGGGGAGGGACGAACCGCUUUUGGUAAAUAGCCAGAAGCAUGACGGUACCUCCUUAGCAAGCACCGGCUAACUACGUGCCAGCAG